rnacentral:rRNA from 1 species
UACGUAGGGUGCAAGCGUUAAUCGGAAUUACUGGGCGUAAAGCGUGCGCAGGCGGUUUUGUAAGUCUGACGUGAAAUCCCCCGGGCUUAACCUGGGAAUUGCGUUGGAGACUGCAAGGCUAGAGUUUGGCAGAGGGGGGUAGAAUUCCACGUGUAGCAGUGAAAUGCGUAGAUAUGUGGAGGAACACCGAUGGCGAAGGCAGCCCCCUGGGUCAAAACUGACGCUCAUGCACGAAAGCGUGGGGAGCAAACAGG